rnacentral:rRNA from 1 species
GACGAACUGUCCUAACGUUGUUCGGAAUCACUGGGCUUAAAGGGCGCGUAGGCGGGCUGCCAAGUCUGGGGUGAAAUCCCACGGCUCAACCGUGGAACUGCCUCGGAUACUGGCGGCCUCGAGGGAGGUAGGGGCGUGCGGAACUGUGGGUGGAGCGGUGAAAUGCGUUGAUAUCCACAGGAACUCCGGUGGCGAAGGCGGCACGCUGGACCUCUUCUGACGCUGAGGCGCGAAAGCCAGGGGAGCAAACGGG